ACCGAAGUUAAUUAAGGUUUUGGCUUUGAUGUUAUUUUAGAAUAUUGUGUGUUUUUUGAGUAAAGUGUGUUGGCUUUCAGCACUAUAUUAGCUAUAAUAAAACAUUAAUUGUGCAUGAAAUUUAAAGAGUUCUUGAGAGGGGAAUACGGUUGGAAAAGGUUUUAAUAAUUUUUUGUAGUUGGUUGUAUCUAUUAGUUGGGACCUUAAUAAGUUAGGGGUGUUACAUUGAUGGAUGAUUUGUUUCUCAACAUCAGCAGUUAGGAUUUGGAUAUUAUAGAAAUAUAGACUAGGUAAUUGUUUUUAGGAGGGAUGAAUGAUGUGCCAGCAUUCGCGGUUAGACAUCUCCUUCGAGUUAAUAUAUAAUCGUAGGGCAGUGAGGUUGGAGUAAAGUUGGAAAGUUUUGUCGGCGGAUUUAGCGGUGAAAUGUGUAAAUAAUCUAAGUCAAAUAUAUGUUUUUGUGUAGUAUUGUUUGGCUGUGCUGUGUACUGUAAAACUUUAAAAAUUUAAGCUGAGAAAGCUGUUUAUUAAAAACAAGGAUUAGAGACCCUUUUAUUUAAGCUGAAACUAGGUUUACCUACGGGUAUGAUGAACGUUAUAAUAAGUUUAGUAGCUUAUGAGAGUUGGCGGCAUUUUGCAACCUUUUAGGGGAACUUGGCGUUUAAAUCGAUGAUCCUCGAAAAUCUUACCUCUAAUUUUCCUUUCAUACCGCCGUUGUCAGCGAGUUUUGAAAAAUUAAUUUGCGUAUACAAAAUCUAAAUUAGUUUAGUGGAAUAUUUGGGUUUGUAAGAAUUCAGGUAGACGUGUAGGUGUUUUAGAGGGAUUAGCUGAGUUCCAAUUAUUAAAUAAUAGCGGAUGAGUUAGUUGUCUACUGGUGUAAAACUUGCUUGAUUUAGGUUAAGUGUUUUUUGUACUGGGGUUUCUGAAAGGUAUUUCUGAAGAUGGACUUUAUAGUAAAAUUUUUUAUAAGCAAGAAAUUUGAAUUGAGUAAAAAAAAUGUGUACAAAUCGCCCGGUGUCCUUCUCGUAAGAAGAGGUAAGCCGUAACAUAGUGAUGCUAGUAGAAACUGGUGUCGAUGAUAGCAGUAAUUAGGGGGUUGUUGGUUGUUUAAUUAUGACGUAAUUGGAAAUAUUUCUUUAUUGUUUUAAAAUAUUGUGUGUGGUGUGUUUGUAGUGUGGUUUGUUGUAAGUU
rnacentral:ncRNA from 1 species